AAGAAGUGAAACAGGAGAGAGGAAGAGGUGAGGCUGCAGAGUGAGGAGGAGCUAGAUCGUAGGGUCUUCCUAAAUUAAUGUAAGCAUUUUGGAUUUUAUUCUAAAAUCCACAGCUACAUUAAUGCAGCUGCUCUUCAAGAGAAUGGACAUGAAGAGGACAAGAGCAGAUAUGAAUGGGCCCACUGCGAACUAAGGUGGAAAGAAAACUUUAACUGCACCUGGAAAGGCUGGAGCAUGCAAUAUUUUUUUAAAUACCUGAUUAACACCUGCUUAAAUAUUUUCUUCCAAUCUUUAAUUAAACAGUUAAGGUAAGACUUCAUUUUCUAGAUAUAUAAUCAGACUGAGCAUGAAUAAUGCUCUACAGCUGCUAAUUUCCCUUUCCAAAGACAGAGUUAAACAGAAAAAGGUUCUUUACUUUCUAAAAGAGGGUAUUGAAAAACGGCGUUCUUCAUUUUUAAAAGAAACAAAAAUCUCAGAAUAGAAAAUAUGUACAUGUAACUAGAGAAAACAAUUGCCAGCAUUUUUUAAUUCUGAAAAUUACAAAUACAUAUUUCUCCUCAUCCUAACAGAAUUGUCUGAAGAGUCCAAAGUAAAAUUUAGUUAGAUCAUAAAAUAAUAAGGCCAACAGAUUCCUCUCACAUAUUGACUACUACUGAUAAUUUAGGAUGUACUUCAAAGUCUAGAGAAGGCAUUUUUACAUUGAGUAUAUAAUGCUUAAGUUAAUAUUUACAAAAUAGUAUUUUCAAAAGCAUGUUAUCAAAUGUCUUAUUUUCUGAUUUGCAGAAUUUUAGGGCUUUUUUCAAUCCCUUGACUAGUAAAUUGUCUUCUUAAAUAUUGCAAUGUAUUUGAUACAGAAAAAGAAGAAAGAUAAAAGUGGGAAGGAAAAACAGAGGAGAGAGUGAGGGAGGGUAUAUAGAGAGAGGGAAGAAUAGAAGUAAGUAAUAUAAUCAUCAUAACCCCAUAGCUAGUUUUAAGGCUAAUGGUCACGUUUUAGUUAAGGGACAAUACUUUGUUCAUCAUAUGCAAUGUAUACUAGUGUGACUGAGAGCAAUAGUAUCUACUUUCUAUGUAUAUGUCAACUUUCUUGUGGGAAGGGAGAGGAAGAUGACUCAUGGGAAUACCUCUGUUCAUGUGGUGGCCAAGCACUGAUUUCUAGAGCCAGCCUGUGUGUGUUUCCAUUGUGUCUCUAUGGCUUACUUGCAGUGUGACCCCAGGCAAGUCACUUAAUCAUGGUACCUCAGUUUUCUCAGCUAUGAAACGGGGAUAAUAGUCAUACAACCUCAUGUGGUUGUUGUAAGAAUUAAAGUGUUCAUAUAUUGAAAGGGCUCAGAACACUGCUUGGCACAUAAUAUGUUCUAUGUAAAUGUUUGGUAUUAUUAUUUUUUACUAUUACCAUAUGCAUGUGAUAAUUGUUAGUGCUUAUUAAAACGAAUUUCUU
rnacentral:lncRNA from 1 species